UGAUUUACGCCAGCUGAGGAUAUGGCCCUUAGAACUGACAAGAAAUGGCUAUGCCUACUAAUUACUGAAGCUGCUAAUGUAUUUCAGCUGGUACUAACUGGUUUUAUGUCACUGGAAAAUUACAGAAGUGUAGGUCAGACACCAACCUGUGUGUGCAGUUUUUUUGGUCAAAUGUCCAGAAAAGUAGGGCUGCAUUUUGUGUGAUGACUGUUCUUGUUGGCAUUAAACCCUGAUCAGACUUCUCACUAACUUGGGCAUCCUCCAUACAGUUUGCAGUUUCUUCUUCCCAGAUUGAGGCAGGAUGAAAAGCUGAUUAUUUGGUUAGCCUUCUGGCAUAGUGUGGUGAUGCAUUUAGGAUGCUUUUGACACUAUUACAAUUUCAGGUGGUCACUCAGGAAGAAGCAGCUGGGAUUCAAAUCAUCACUGAAGGUAAAAGCCCUCACAGACAUGAGGACACUGAAGUCCUUCAGAGCAUGGCCAUUGGAAAUGCUGGUCACCAUUUCAGCAGCUCUAAAACUGGAUGUUGCAGGUGUCUCACGUUGACAGCUGCAAUUUUAGUGAUGCUGUGCAGCACAGGAUGUCCACUCUCAUUACGUUUCAAGGCACAGGAAAUGCAACUCAGUAUCUGAAUGCAUAAGAAGGAUGGAGCCUUUUAAAGUUCAAGGAUUCAAGAAGCCUGUUGACACCGUACAUGCUGGUAUAUAAAAAUAAAUUACAGACUUUAAUAUUUACGUGUGCUGGCUUCCAACCCCCCAAAAGCUUGCACUGAGGAGGUUCACAAAUGGGAACUGAAGAACUGCCAGGCACUUGGAUCCUUAUUGUGAAGACUGACUGAAGAGAAGCAUGCCAAACACAAGGUGCUGCCUAUAAACCUUUGAAUCAGAAUGCGUAACUACACAAAUGAUAAACAAAAUAAAAAUAUGCUGAGAAAUA